rnacentral:piRNA from 1 species
UGCAUUCAAUGUCUGAUAAGC